GGCGUGCCUAAUACAUGCAAGUCGAGCGGAGUGAUGAAGAAGCUUGCUUCUUCUGAUUUUAGCGGCGGACGGGUGAGUAACACGUGGGCAACCUACCUUGUAGAUUGGGAUAACUCCGGGAAACCGGGGCUAAUACCGAAUAAUCCAUUUUGCUUCAUGGCGAGAUGUUGAAAGACGGUUUCGGCUGUCACUACAAGAUGGGCCCGCGGCGCAUUAGCUAGUUGGUAGGGUAAUGGCCUACCAAGGCGACGAUGCGUAGCCGACCUGAGAGGGUGAUCGGCCACACUGGGACUGAGACACGGCCCAGACUCCUACGGGAGGCAGCAGUAGGGAAUCUUCCACAAUGGACGAAAGUCUGAUGGAGCAACGCCGCGUGAGUGAAGAAGGUUUUCGGAUCGUAAAACUCUGUUGUAAGGGAAGAACACGUACGAGAGUAACUGCUCGUACCUUGACGGUACCUUAUUAGAAAGCCACGGCUAACUACGUG
rnacentral:rRNA from 1 species